UACGGAGGGUGCAAACGUUGCUCGGAAUCACUGGGCGUAAAGCGCACGUAGGCGGCUCGAAAAGUCGGAUGUGAAAGCCCUGGGCUCAACCUAGGAAGUGCAUUCGAAACUGCCGAGCUUGAGUACGGGAGAGGGUUGCGGAAUUCCCGGUGUAGAGGUGAAAUUCGUAGAUAUCUGGAGGAACACCGGUGGCGAAGGCGGCAUCCUGGACCAUUACUGACACUGAAAAGCGAAAGCCAGGGGAGCAAACGGG
rnacentral:rRNA from 1 species